GACGAACGCUGGCGGCGUGCUUAACACAUGCAAGUCGAACGAAGUGGCGAACGGGUGAGUAACGCAUAAUCAACCUGCCCUUCAGAGGGGGACAACAGUUGGAAACGACUGCUAAUACCGCAUACUGAAGGAGGGGAUUGCGGCUGAUUAGCUAGUGGGAGGGGUAACGGCCCACCAAGGCGAUGAUCAGUAGCAUGUCUGAGAGGAUGACUGGACACAUUGGUACUGAGACACUGACCAGACUCCUACGGGAGGCAGCAGUGGGGAAUCUUCCGCAAUGGACGAAAGUCUGACGGAGGCACGCCGCGUGAGUGAUGACGGCCUUUGGGUUGUAAAGCUCUGUUAGUCGGGACGCGGGACCGGAAGAGAAAGCCACUGCUAACUACGUGCGAGCAGCCGCGGUAAUUC
rnacentral:rRNA from 1 species